rnacentral:lncRNA from 1 species
GUUUGGAUCAAUCCAACCGAGUUUUGGAAUCCUCCAAAACUCAAAAAAUCAAAUACAAUAUGAGAAAAAUAAGGUAUAGAAAAUUCAGCACAAUAUCCCCUUAAAUAGACACAAUAAGUGCAAUAGAAAUAUAAUACUUAAGGAGAAAAAGCUUUUGCUGAAUACCCUCAAUGAAUUUCACACUUGAUUGUAGCUGGAGAGUGAUUGGUGAAGUGAUU